AUGAUUUUUUUUUUAAGUGAUCAUACUUGUUUUUCCCUCACUGUUUUGUUAUAUACAUACAUGUAUUCAAAUGAUGGUAUGGUAUACAAAUGGAGUAUUUGUGUGAUUAUAUAAAAUGUAUUUAUUGCAUCUAAAUCACGUGUUGUUUCAUGGUCCAUGUAACAUUUGUUUUUCUCAUUAUUUAUGUUGGUUCGAUAUUUUAUUGAGUUAAAAGCGUAUCACACUUAGGGGCUGUUUGUUUGGCCUCUUAAUGAUCCCAUAAAGAGGCUGGCCCUGAAUUGUUCAGAUUCAGAGCGUUUGGUUGGAGGUUUUUUAACCUCUUAAUCUAUAAGACAUAAAAGAAAUAGGUCUUGAUCGGUCAGAUAUUUUGAGAAGUCUGGAUGAAAAAUUUUCCAAGUAAUACCCUUAGCCCUAAUAAAACGUCCGCCUCUCUUUUCUUCUCCCAUCGAGCAACGUUCUCUCUUUCUCAGCCGAUUAUCAACUUGCCAUCGCCGAUUCUCACCUUGCCAUCGGACCUCCGGCAACCCCGCUCCACCUCCACCUUCUUCGCUUCCCUCCUCGUCGCCUCCCACUUCGCUGGACGUGUCAAGUGUUGUAGGGAGCAAUGCCACUGGAUGUAAACAAUAACCACAAAGAUCAUGAGGAUUUAUCUUAGAAUCGCAAUCAACUUGUUCCAAUCGAAACCCGACAAUCCAAUUUGUUUGAACCAAUUUAUUGCAAGAUAUUUUUAUAAAAUUUGUUAUAGUAUGAUCUAAGGAUCUAUAUAUGACAUAUUUGAAUGUUGUAUGAUAUCUAAUUUGAAUGUUGUACGACGGUGUUUAUUUUGUAUGCAAAAAAUAAUUUAGAGGGUUAAAAUGGUCAUUUUCCUUGUUAAGAGGCAGACGUAGACGUUCAGAUGCCUAACCAAACAUCAGUUUAUCGUUCAGAUACAGAUUCAUAAAGAGCCUCUGUAUUAUCCAGAUAUCUAUAUCAUUCAGAUAUGAAUCUUCCAGAUGCUACCGAUUCCAAGCUAAAUAACUUUUUUAUAAUAUGUACGUCAUUAUAAGAAGAUGUGAUCCAUAGCUUGAGGCUUUUUUAUAAUAUAUAUGUACUUUCUUUACGUAA